AUUGAACGCUGGCGGCAGGCUUAACACAUGCAAGUCGAGCGGGGGAAGGUAGCUUGCUACCGGACCUAGCGGCGGACGGGUGAGUAAUGCUUAGGAAUCUGCCUAUUAGUGGGGGACAACAUCUCGAAAGGGAUGCUAAUACCGCACACGUCCUACGGGAGAAAGCAGGGGAUCUUCGGACCUUGCGCUAAUAGAUGAGCCUAAGUCGGAUUAGCUAGUUGGUGGGGUAAAGGCCUACCAAGGCGACGAUCUGUAGCGGGUCUGAGAGGAUGAACCGCCACACUGGGACUGAGACACGGCCCAGACUCCUACGGGAGGCAGCAGUGGGGAAUAUUGGACAAUGGGGGGAACCCUGAUCCAGCCAUGCCGCGUGUGUGAAGAAGGCCUUAUGGUUGUAAAGCACUUUAAGCGAGGAGGAGGCUACUUUAGUUAAUACCUAGAGAUAGUGGACGUUACUCGCAGAAUAAGCACCGGCUAACUCUGUGCCAGCCGCCGCUGUAAAAC
rnacentral:rRNA from 1 species